rnacentral:rRNA from 1 species
CCUGAGAAACCCAAAAGAUCGAAUGGGGAGAUUCAUCGUCAGCGAUUUUGGUACGUGUGCGGUUCGCGAUGUCGUGGACUUCGGUCCUCUGGCACGCGUCCGCAUGUUUUUAUUGCCUGAAUCGUCGGCGUGCACUUCUCCCCUAGUAGGACGUCGCGACCCGUUGGGUGUCGGUCUACGGCCCGGUAGGUAGCCUGUCUCGUGUGCGCUUCACGGUGUUACGCGGGGCAGACCUCCGGUUGCCCGACCGGCUGCCCGGCGGUACUCGCAAGGUAUCUGGCCGCAAAUAUUCGAACUGCGUCCGGCCCGUCGCAAGCGCGGCAAGUGUUUCCCGGAUGUACGGAUCUAAUGCCGUCACUGGGCCUUGCCAGCUGUUGGUUGACGGUGUCCUAGGACUGGCUAAAAUAAUUAUGAUACCGGUCGGCGACGCUACUGCUUUGGGUACUUUCAGGA